CUACGUCGUCACGAAGUGGACCCCAAAAUGGCUGACAUACUCUGCGUCAUUUUUGGCAAUAAGCAAAGCUAAUGCUAUUCUUACCCUGUCUUUCAGGCCGUCGCCGAGGUGUCCAACGCUCCUCGUCACUGUAAAGCUGGCCUGUUUGAGCGAGGGACCAAGAUGCACCAAGUCGGCAUUUUGAACUUGACGCGCUGCAGGUUUUUCUAAUGCGCACUCAUGUCCACGAGGCGGCGCCAGAGCACUUCUGGCCAAGUACUUGAUGCUGAAGUCUUCUACGAACAAGGGUUUGAAAAGAACAUUUUUGUGUGCAGGGCUGGCUCCCGGGACGACCGCGCCACAAAGAUCAUUCUGCACCUGCUGGGUUCGUCGGACAAAAAAAGCAGAAGGUCUUCAAUGUUGAUGUGCUAAUAAAGCCACGGAUUAGCUACAAUUUUUUUUCUCUCCUCAGGUGUGACUUCAAAAAGCAGAUGGACAUGGACUGAGAACGUGCCCUCGUGAGACUUCCAGGGACUUGACCCACUUCCGGCCAGAGGCUCCUCAAGCACCUUUUCAAGUUCAACCUCAUCCGUUGCCGUCAGGUUUCCACACUGACGUGAAUCUCCAAAUAUUGGAGGAGCUCAGUCCACUUGGAUGUUCUUUUGGUCGUUGCAGGUGGUCGUCACGAUGGUGCAAUCUGUCCUACGAAGUGACUUGCGACCUCAGGAGAAGGGAACCAUAUCCUGCCUGUUUUUGAACCAUUCCUACUCAACACACCUGAUUGUUUCAAGCCUCGACAGGGCUUGGUGAUAAUUUGAAUCGGGUGUGUUGCAGUAGGGAGGCAUCGAAAAACGGGCAAGAUGCAAAACCUGUUUUGUUUUCAGGUCCAGGACAGCACAAAGUACCUGAAAACAAGCGCGCCAGUCUGAGCGUCGUGUCAACGAGUGGCUGUGAAUUCCUGACACCUCAGUCCCAGGAAAAGUCACUCGUCACACAUUUGCUGCACAACAAGUUGAGGUAACUAUUUUUUUUUAAAUCCAGGUACACUUGCAUCCCAACGGCCAACCAACAACUUCACCAUGCGGCACGACUUGUCAAGCUGUCCAAUUUGUCACUUGUUUGCAACUUGAGAUUUAUUCUACAAAUAAAAA